UGGGGAAUCUUCCGCAAUGGACGAAAGUCUGACGGAGCAACGCCGCGUGAGUGAUGACGGUCUUCGGAUUGUAAAGCUCUGUUAAUCGGGACGAAUGGUUUGUGUGCAAAUAGUGCAUAGACAUGACGGUACCGGAAUAGAAAGCCACGGCUAACUACGUGCCAGCAGCCGCGGUAAUACGUAGGUGGCAAGCGUUGUCCGGAAUUAUUGGGCGUAAAGCCCGCGCAGGCGGACUAGCCAGUCAGUCUUAAAAGUUCGGGGCUUAACCCCGUGAUGGGAUUGAAACUACUAGUCUAGAGUAUCGGAGAGGAAAGUGGAAUUCCUAGUGUAGCGGUGAAAUGCGUAGAUAUUAGGAAGAACACCAGGGGCGAAGGCGACUUUCUGGACGAACACUGACGCUGAGGCGCGAAAGCCAGGGGAGCGAACGGG
rnacentral:rRNA from 1 species